AUUGAACGCUGGCGGCAUGCCUUACACAUGCAAGUCGAACGGCAGCACGGGAGCAAUCCUGGUGGCGAGUGGCGAACGGGUGAGUAAUAUAUCGGAACGUGCCCAACCGUGGGGGGAUAACGUAGCGAAAGCUACGCUAAUACCGCAUACGAUCUAUGGAUGAAAGCGGGGGAUCGCAAGACCUCGCGCGAUUGGAGCGGCCGAUAUCAGAUUAGGUAGUUGGUGGGGUAAAAGCCUACCAAGCCUUCGAUCUGUAGCUGGUCUGAGAGGACGACCAGCCACACUGGAACUGAGACACGGUCCAGACUCCUACGGGAGGCAGCAGUGGGGAAUUUUGGACAAUGGGCGCAAGCCUGAUCCAGCAAUGCCGCGUGCAGGAUGAAGGCCUUCGGUUGUAACUGCUUUGUACGGUAACGAAACGGUUACGUUU
rnacentral:rRNA from 1 species